rnacentral:rRNA from 1 species
UUGGAGGGCAAGUCUGGUGCCAGCAGCCGCGGUAAUUCCAGCUCCAAUAGCGUAUAUUAAAGUUGUUGCAGUUAAAAAGCUCGUAGUUGAAUUUCGGGAUCAAUGUUUCGGUCAUGCCGUUGGUAUGUACUGAUAUUAUUGAUUUCUCACCUUCUAAAGAACCGUAAUGCCAUUAAUUUGGUGUCACGGGGAAUUAGGACUGUUACCUUGAAAAAUUAGAGUGUUUAAAGCAGGCUCACGCUUGAAUACAUUAGCAUGGAAUAAUGAAAUAGGACAUCCGAUUCUGUUUUGUUGGUUUCUAGGAUCGAUGUAAUGAUUAAUAGGGAUAGUUGGGGGCAUUAGUAUUCAAUUGUCAGAGGUGAAAUUCUUGGAUUUAUUGAAGACUAACUACUGCGAAAGCAUUUGCCAAGGAUGUUUCAUUAAUCAAGAACGAAAGUUAGGGGAUCGAAGACGAUCAGAUACCGUCGUAGUCUUAACCAUAAACUAUGCCGACUAGGGAUCGGAUGAUGUUAAUUUUUAU